rnacentral:rRNA from 1 species
GAUGAACGCUGGCGGCGUGCUUAACACAUGCAAGUCGAACGGAAAGGCCCUGCUUUUGUUGGUUGCUCGAUUGGCGAACGGGUGAGUAACACGUGAGUAACCUGCCCUUGUCUGUCUGAUAACUUCAGGAAACUCGGGCUAAUACCGGAGAGGAGCUCCUGCUCCAUAGUGUGGGUUGGAAAGUUUCGGUGUUUGGGGAUAGUCUCGCGGCUUAUCAGCUGGUUUGUGGGGUAGUGGCUUACCAGGGCUUUGACGGGUAGCCUGCCUGAGAGGGUGACCAGCCACAAUAGGACUGAGAUACGGACCAGAAUGCAACGGGAGGCAGCAGUCGGGAAUCUUGCACAAUGGGGGGACGCCUGAUGAAGCAACGCCGCGUGCGGAAUGCUGGCCUACGGGUUGUGAACAGAUUUCGACGGUACCGAAGACUGCGUGACGGUACUGGGUCAAGAAGCCACGGCUAACUACGUG